GAGACCCACGCCAACAGUUGCCAGCAUGUCCUCCGGGAUGGUGGGGACACUGUUGGGACCGCCUCUGCUAAAGAGGAGGAAGGAAUGGGCAACGGUAGGUCAGCAUGCCCCGAAUUAUCCGGGCUACACGCGGGCUACAAUGGUCAGGACAAUGGGUAUCGACACCGAGAGGUGAAGGCAAUCUCUUAAACCUGUCCUUAGUUCGGAUUGCGGGCUGCAACUCGCCCACAUGAAGCUGGAAUCCGUAGUAAUCGCGUCUCAAAAUGGCGCGGUGAAUAU
rnacentral:rRNA from 1 species